AGAUCACGAGCCCAACAGCUCCAAGUUACAGUGAGCUAUUAUUCUGCCACUGCACUCCAGCCUGGGCAACAGAG
rnacentral:snRNA from 1 species